rnacentral:rRNA from 1 species
UACGUAGGGACCAAGCGUUGUCCGGAAUUAUUGGGCGUAAAGAGCUCGUAGGCGGUUUGUCGCGUCUGCUGUGAAAACUCGGGGCUUAACCCCGGGCCUGCAGUGGGUACGGGCAGACUAGAGUGCGGUAGGGGAGACUGGAAUUCCUGGUGUAGCGGUGAAAUGCGCAGAUAUCAGGAGGAACACCGGUGGCGAAGGCGGGUCUCUGGGCCGUAACUGACGCUGAGGCGCGAAAGCCAGGGGAGCGAACGGG